CCUACGGGGGGCUGCAGUGGGGAAUAUUGGACAAUGGGGGGAACCCUGAUCCAACCAUGCCGCGUGUGUGAAGAAGGCCCUCGGGUUGUAAAGCACUUUCAGUGAGGAAGAACGCCUGGUGGUUAAUACCCAUCAGGAAAGACAUCACUCACAGAAGAAGCACCGGCUAACUCCGUGCCAGCAGCCGCGGUAAUACGGAGGGUGCGAGCGUUAAUCGGAAUUACUGGGCGUAAAGCGCGCGUAGGUGGCUUGAUAAGCCGGUUGUGAAAGCCCCGGGCUCAACCUGGGAACGGCAUCCGGAACUGUCAAGCUAGAGUGCAGGAGAGGAAGGUAGAAUUCCCGGUGUAGCGGUGAAAUGCGUAGAGAUCGGGAGGAAUACCAGUGGCGAAGGCGGCCUUCUGGACUGACACUGACACUGAGGUGCGAAAGCGUGGGUAGCAAACAGGAUUAGAUACCCUGGUAGUC
rnacentral:rRNA from 1 species